rnacentral:rRNA from 1 species
CCACUGUGACAGCUUAGACUUCGGUCUUUGCAAUUGCUUGGGUGUCGAAAGGCGCCCAAUCUUUAAAACUUUUAUAUUUGUUCUGAAACAAUGAAAAUUUAAAACUUUCAACAACGGAUCUCUUGGUUCUCGUAUCGAUGAAGAACGCAGCAAAGCGCGAUAGGUAAUGCGAAUUGCAGACGUGAGUCAUUGAAUUUUUGAACGCAUAUUGCGCUAUUAGUUUGUCUAAUAGCAUGCUUGUUGGAGUGAUAAUCUUCCUCUCAACCAUUUUUGGUAUGAGGUCUUGCUCCUUUUAGGAGUUAAAAUCAUGGAAGUGCACACGUUAAUUAACUCUGUGCAGUUAUACACUUUUCAUCCUCCAAUCAAGCAAGGUUACCCGCUGAACUUAAGCAUAUCAAUAAGCGGAGGAAAGAGAUCAUUUCUGAAGGCUUUUUGCCAAAACCACUGUGAACAGCUUANACUUCNGUCUUUGCAAUUGCUUGGGUGUCNAAAGGCGCCCAAUCUUUAAAACUUUUAUAUUUGUUCUGAAACAAUGAAAAUUUAAAACUUUCAACAACGGAUCUCUUGGUUCUCGUAUCGAUGAAGAACGCAGCAAGCGC